CUGGUACUCCCUCCGUUCGGAAUUACUUGUCGCAUAAAUAAAUGUAUGUAGACGUAUUUUAGUUCUAUAUACAUUCAUUUCCGAGAAGUAAUUCCGAAUGGAGGGAGUACUAU
rfam:Triticum aestivum genome assembly, contig: Triticum_aestivum_CS42_TGACv1_scaffold_196742_3AL